GAUGAACGCUGGCGGCGUGCCUAAUACAUGCAAGUCGAGCGAACAGACGAGGAGCUUGCUCCUCUGACGUUAGCGGCGGACGGGUGAGUAACACGUGGAUAACCUACCUAUAAGACUGGGAUAACUUCGGGAAACCGGAGCUAAUACCGGAUAAUAUAUUGAACCGCAUGGUUCAAUAGUGAAAGACGGUUUUGCUGUCACUUAUAGAUGGAUCCGCGCCGCAUUAGCUAGUUGGUAAGGUAACGGCUUACCAAGGCAACGAUGCGUAGCCGACCUGAGAGGGUGAUCGGCCACACUGGAACUGAGACACGGUCAAGACGCCUAAGGGAGGCAGCAGUAGGGAAUCGUACGCAAUGGGCGAAAGCCUGACGGAGCAACGCCGCGUGAGUGAUGAAGGUCUUCGGAUCGUAAAACUCGGUUAUUAGGGAAGAACAAAUGUGUAAGUAACUAUGCACGUCUUGACGGUACCUAAUCAGAAAGCCACGGCUAACUACGUG
rnacentral:rRNA from 1 species